rnacentral:rRNA from 1 species
CCUACGGGCGGCCGCAGUGAGGAAUAUUGGUCAAUGGCCGAGAGGCUGAACCAGCCAAGUCGCGUGAGGGAAGACGGCCCUACGGGUUGUAAACCUCUUUUGUCGGGGAGCAAAGCGAACCACGUGUGGUUCAUUGAGAGUACCCGAAGAAAAAGCCUCGGCUAACUCCGUGCCAGCAGCCGCGGUAAUACGGAGGAUGCGAGCGUUCGCCGGAUUUACUGGGUGUAAAGGGAGCGUAGGCGGGACAUCAAGUUGGGUGUCAAAUCUACCGGCUCAACCGGUAGCCGCACUCAAAACUGCAGUUCGUGAGUGAAGUAGAGGCAGGCGGAAUUCCUAGUGUAGCGGUGAAAUGCGUAGAUAUUAGGAGGAACACCAGUGGCGAAGGCGGCCUGCUGGGCUUUUACUGACGCUGAGGCUCGAAAGUGUGGGGAGCAAACAGGAUUAGAUACCCUUGUAGUC